CAGUCGCCGCGGGAAUACGAAGGGUGCAAGCGUUACUCGGAAUUACUGGGUGUAAAGCGUGCGUAGGUGGUGGUUUAAGUCCGUUGUGAAAGCCCUGGGCUCAACCUGGGAAUUGCAGUGGAUACUGGGUCACUAGAGUGUGGUAGAGGAUAGUGGAAUUUCCGGUGUAGCAGUGAAAUGCGUAGAGAUCGGAAGGAACAUCUGUGGCGAAGGCGACUAUCUGGGCCAACACUGACACUGAGGCACGAAAGCGUGGGGAGCAAACAGGAUUAGAUACCCGAGUAGUCCCUGUCUCUUAUAC
rnacentral:rRNA from 1 species